AUGAUAAAGUUCAGGAAGUGCUUGUUGGUGGGAGAACAGGCACGAUACAAGCUGGCCUCACGGCACAGUCUGACAGAACAACAAGUAGCAUCUACGACAGCAAAAGCUACCAAACUACGAAAGCAGACUCGCAAGCCUUGGAUUAUGAAACCAAGACCGCUAGCGUAUAGUCCCAAGAACAGAGGCAUAGAGAUAAAUUUGGAUACUAGCACCCUAACGCAACUGAUAACAGAAGAAUUACACAUUGGAGGCAUCAAUGUUGCGCAUAGAGGAUGCAGACGAGGAGCUCACAGCAGAGGAGCUGGGGGCCGCACCGGAGACAGGAUUGGUCGUACGGGCCCUGGCUUGCUCGAGGAUGGCAGGAACGUUGAGGUUGCGGCCCUGGGCGAGCAACUUGAGCUUGGCCCUGGUGAGCGGCGCUGGAGUCGAGAGCAGAGGGAGCUCCAGGAUGCUAGCGACGGAGGUGGCUUUGGCCUUCGCCUUCUUACGGGACUUGGAGGAGCUGGAGCGCCUGGAGGAGCCACUGCUCGAACUUUGAUCGGGCACCGUCGCUGCCUUGCGCUUGGCAGCCCGCUCCACCGGGCUCAUCCGAGCGCCGUCGUAGGCGCGCUGAAUGCGGGGGCUGCACCGUGGGGACGUUGCAGAUGGCACCGCCGUUACUGGGGAAGCGACCGGUGGCGAUGCAGCCUCGAUAUUCUCAUCCCCCGCACAGCCCGGUGGCGGCAGAUCCAGAUUGAGAUCCGGCACGCCCAGCUGGCCAGCAGAGGGGGGCGUAGAUCCGGCGGGAGGGAAAAGCGUCAGCGCGGCCUUGGGAGCGAGGAGGUCGGCCGCGGCGGGCUCACGCAGUGGCUCCCGGCAACUACAGAAGACAGCUGCCACAUGCGCGGGGAGCGCCGCGCAGGCACCAUGCUUGAGGUCAGUGGCAACCACCGGCGAGAGUUGUUCGAUGGGGAGGAUUCCAGGCUCUGGAUGCGAGAUGCGGUGGGGGGGCGUGUGCAGAUGGGUCUAGUGGUGAGGAUCUGGUGGGCCUGGAGGUGA
rnacentral:rRNA from 1 species